ensembl:lncRNA
GGGAGGCAAGGUGGUGGAUGGGGCUGGCUGGCUGAUGGGGGGAGGACACUGUGAUGAGAUGACUGAGAAGAGAAGGGAGGAUAAAUAUUUAAUGUGUUGAGCAGCUGGAGGGGUAAGGAGUGGUGGAGGAGAGGAGGAGAGGAGUGAGGUGCACUGCAAUACUCAUUUGAAGCCAAGCCUCCCCUUCAUAUUCCUCUCUCUUAUACACAGCUAGGGGUGGGUUGAUGGUGAAGCCAUAUUCUAUCUACUGUUUGAUUCUGUUUGAGAAAGGUUAUGGUACAACAACAGAUCUGAUGAUGAACAGUUUUAAAUGACAGCACAAUAAUCUGUACACACGUCAUUUUACACCCUUGCUUCGACAAUUUCUACUGCCCUCUUCUGACUCUCCCCCUUUUCUCUUCCCCUCCCUUUAUAUACAAAUUGAGCCACCUGUUUAUCUCUGACAUGGGUCAUAUGACCACUCUUUGUAGUCUUUUGUGUGUGUGCAUGCGUGCGUGUGUGCGUGCGUGCGUGCGUGUGCGCGUGUGUGUGUUCGCGCUAACAGUCCUCUGAAAGAGAACGUGGCUUUUUAAUUUAAUUGCUGACGGAUAUUUUUUUAAGUGACUUUGUAGGAGAGGGAGAAUUUAAACUGAGGAUUCUGAGGAUGAGGGAGUCUCUUGUAAAAUGCACUUGUGAAAUGAUGAGUUCAGCUUGUAUGCAUUGUGACUCAGUUCUCCUGUCUUUCGGGUACAGGGACAGAUACGUUUGAGGUUUACUGUGUCACCGCCCAGCCAAGAGUAUAGAGCCAUCCCUGUCAGGGAGGUGGCCACCUGGUCAACGAAAUGAAUGAAAUUGUUCUCUGAAUCCUAUUGUCACCCUUUUGAACCCAUCUCUCCAUUUCUCUUACCAAGCCUCGUCUUUGACUGGACACACAGAGCAGUUAUAUAUUGAUGGACAAGGAAAAGAGAAAAUGAAACUACUGUAAAGAUGAUCUCCUUCUUUUUUUUUUUGGAUUAACUUUGAACUGUAAAAUAACUUUUCAACUUUCACAAUAUUUAAUUAAAGUUCCCUCUUGUCUGUGAAA